AAAGGUGGAUUUUCAUCAAUAAUUUAUAUCAGAAUUAUUUGGAUUAUUAGAAAAAAUGAUUUGUCCCUUCAUAUUCAAUACUCCAGAAAAGAAUACCUCCUCUUAAUAGUAUUUUUAUGGAAUUUUUAUCUAUAUUAAAUAAAAAAACCUCUCUCUACUUUUUCUCUAACCUCUCUCUAAGAACUUUCAAUGAAAACAAAUAGCGUUUAUGGGGCCGGUGGUUUCACCACCGCCGGUUACCUUUUUCUCCUUUUUGUUUUUUUGUAUGUAAAUAUUUGAUCGAACCUUCGGCUUAGUCCGAUUUUCCUCUACGUUUGCGGAUAUAUGCUUCGGUUUAGCCGACUUAAAAUCUUCGCUUGGCGAUACUUUUGGUGUGUUUGUGAAUACUCUUCUAAUACUCUCUGGGUUAAUAAAUAUUCCGCCUGUUUCUUGGUUUUCGUCUUUUUCCGAAGGUCACCCUCGAUCUCUUUUUCUAGAUGAAAUCAAUCUUUGCUGUUAUAAAUCUUGGCAAAGUAUUCUGAAGGACAAGAGUUUUAAGUUUUACAGAUUAUUCUUCUCGGUUUGGGUCAACUUAAUAAGAGUCAACGUUUGCUUUUAGCAAAUGUUUUGACAAUAGUUGGUUCUAAAUCGAUUUGAAGGUAUUUGGAACUUUUCACAUCCAAAGGAAGAGAACGAAGAUUGAAACAUCAGAGGCGCGAAUGAGAGUAUUUUUCAGAUCUAUGGAAUUAGUGCCUAUCGUUUUUCGAUGUCGAGAGAACAUAAUCUUUACAGCAGCUUCCGAUUCACGGCUUUGGAAUUCUACUGCUCAAAAAUGGAAAACACGUGUUGAUUGAAGAUGAAGCUGCUAGGGCUUUCUAGAUUUAGACUGUUUUCUUUUUAUUGGGCUUUAAUGUUAUAUUAUGUUGUUUUCCUAAUGGAUCCUUUAGUGUAUUUGAAACCAUGUAAAAGUCCUUUGGGCUCUUUCUGGAAAAGAAAGCUAGUUGAUAAAAAAAAAAUUCUAUAUUAAAUAAAUAUAAAGUUAAAUUUAUAAUAUACUUUUCUUUUAAUC
rnacentral:lncRNA from 1 species